GGGUGCGAUCAUACCAGCAGUAAUGCACCGAAUCCCAUCAAAACUCUGCAGUUAAGUUUGCUUGGGCGAGAGUAGUACUAAGAUGGGUGACCUCCUGGGAAGUCCUCGUGUUGCACCCC
rnacentral:rRNA from 1 species